rnacentral:tRNA from 1 species
GAAGUGGUAGUUCAGAGGUUAGAACACUGGCUUGUCAAGCCAGGAGUCGCGGGUUCAAAUCCCGUUCACUUCG